AGGGUUCGGCCCUCGGCUGACGGCUCAGUAACACGUGGAUAAUCUGCCCUUAGGUGGAGGAUAAUCUCGGGAAACUGAGGAUAAUACUCCAUAAAUCUAGGAUGCUGGAAUGCAUCUAGAUUGAAAGCUCCGGCGCCUAAGGAUGAGUCUGCGGACUAUCAGGUUGUAGUCAGGGUAAAGACCUGACUAGCCUACGACGGAUACGGGUUGUGAGAGCAAUAACCCGGAGACGAUAUCUGAGACACGAUAUCGGGCCCUACGGGGCGCAGCAGGCGCGAAAACUUCACACUGUGCGAAAGCGCGAUGAGGGAAUCCCAAGUGUUUGCUCGUAAGAGUAAACUGUUUCUUUGUUUAAAACGCAAAGAGAGUAGGGGCUGGGUAAGACGGGUGCCAGCCGCCGCGGUAAUACCUGCAGCUCGAGUGGUGAUCAUUAUUAUUGGGCCUAAAACGUCCGUAGCCGGUCUAGUAAAUGCCUGGGUAAAUCGUGUAGCUUAACUAUACGACUUCCGGGUAGACUGCUAAACUUGAGACCGGGAGAGGCUAGAGGUACUCCUGGGGUAGAGGUGAAAUUCUGUAAUCCUAGGGGGACCACCAGUGGCGAAGGCGUUCUAGCUAGAACGGGUCUGACGGUGAGGGACGA
rnacentral:rRNA from 1 species